rnacentral:ribozyme from 13 species
UUUUUUUUUUUUUUUUUUUUUUUUUUUUUUUUUUUUUUCCCAAAUUUUCUCGAAUAUCAUGGAGCACGUAUAUCAUAGAGGCCCAUUGAGUGAAAGAAAA